rnacentral:lncRNA from 10 species
GUGGUUUUCUUUUACUUGGCUAGCAGGUAUUGAAUGUCAUGUGUCAGGCACAGAAAGCUGUUGCAAAGACCAACAGUGAUUCAGACACAAAGCCCAUCGUGUCCUAUUUUGGGGGUGAAGUAGUCGCUGAUGAUGGCAUGAUGUGAGUGGGUUGGAAUGGAGACCUAGCCCAAGAGCUGUGGGCACAGGAGGGCUGACUUACCCUGCCAGUGGUGUUGGGAGACUUGAGCUGGGCCUGUGGGCCAUCCAGCUGCAUCCUCCAGGCCUGGCGGAGCUUUCUCUCAGGCAGGGAAGCGCAGGCACAGAGGCUUCAAGUGCGUGUUUGCUUCGAUGAUGAUAUUUGAUUUAAUUUGGCCAGAGCAUGACCUGCAAAGCAAAAGGUGGAGUGGAAUAGGUGGGAGAUAGAUGUGACAGAGUCCUGAUGUCUGCUUGGGGCUGGACCGACUAGCCAGAGGGUCUCAGGCCCAUCAUGGAUCAGAAGGACCUGGGGGGCCCAGCCUGGGCAUCUGCAUUUUGUAAAGUGUCCUGGGGCGUCCAAGUGCUUUGCUGAGCGG